CACGUAGGGCGCAAGCGUUGUCCGGAAUUAUUGGGCGUAAAGAGCUCGUAGGCGGUCUGUCGCGUCGGCUGUGAAAACUCAGGGCUCAACCCUGAGCCUGCAGUCGAUACGGGCAGACUAGAGUCCGGCAGGGGAGACUGGAAUUCCUGGUGUAGCGGUGAAAUGCGCAGAUAUCAGGAGGAACACCGGUGGCGAAGGCGGGUCUCUGGGCCGGAACUGACGCUGAGGAGCGAAAGCGUGGGGAGCGAACAGG
rnacentral:rRNA from 1 species